UGGGGAAUUUUGGACAAUGGGGGAAACCCUGAUCCAGCCAUCCCGCGUGUGCGAUGAAGGCCUUCGGGUUGUAAAGCACUUUUGGCAGGAAAGAAACGCCAUGGGUUAAUACCCCGUGAAACUGACGGUACCUGCAGAAUAAGCACCGGCUAACUACGUGCCAGCAGCCGCGGUAAUACGUAGGGUGCAAGCGUUAAUCGGAAUUACUGGGCGUAAAGCGUGCGCAGGCGGUUCGGAAAGAAAGAUGUGAAAUCCCAGAGCUCAACUUUGGAACUGCAUUUUUAACUACCGGGCUAGAGUGUGUCAGAGGGGGGUGGAAUUCCGCGUGUAGCAGUGAAAUGCGUAGAUAUGCGGAGGAACACCGAUGGCGAAGGCAGCCUCCUGGGAUAACACUGACGCUCAUGCACGAAAGCGUGGGGAGCAAACAGG
rnacentral:rRNA from 1 species